AGGGUUAUAGUUUAUCUAUAAAACAAUUGAUUUGCAAUCAAUAAAUAUUGAAAUAUCAAUUUACCUUU
rnacentral:tRNA from 1 species